rnacentral:tRNA from 1 species
GGGCAUCUUCGCAGGUCAGCGAAUCAGGCCGCACCGCCUCGACAAGGCGGGGGUCACUGGUUCGAGUCCAGUAUCGCCCA